CUUAUUCUCCUCAGCCUCCCGCUCUGCCUCCAGCUGUCAUCUCAGCAGCCAGUCAGAGCCAUGGGCGGCUGGGAGUCCCGCGUCUAUGAACAGCCUUCUGAGAAACUGGAGGAGUUUAUCCAGAACUACCUGAGGCCCUCCGAAGACUGUCAGAAAGACAUCGACCAGUCAGUGGACACCAUCUGUGCGGUCCUGCAGAGACCCUGCCAGUCCCUCACCGUGACAGGGGUGGCCAAAGGUGGCUCCUAUGGCCGGAGAACGGUCUUGAGAGGCAACUCCGAUGGUACCCUUGUCGUCUUCUUCGGGGACCUUGAGCAAUUCCAGGACCAGGAAAAAAGACAAUAUGAACUUCUUGCGAAAAUCUGGGGACAAAUGAAACAUUGUGAGUGCACGCUAAAUCUGGCAGCCAAGAUGGAGCUCCAGAACACCAAUAGGAGCUCCAGGGUCACUGUCCAGCUUUCCACAAAACAGCAGAGCAUCACUUUCAACAUGCUGCCUGCCUUCAAUGCUCUGGGCUUAAGUGAGAAGCCCAGCCUCUGGAGCUAUCGAGAACUCAAAAGAUCCUUGGAUAUGGUGAAAGCCAGGCCCGGUGUGUUCUCAGUCUGCUUCACUGAACUCCAGGAGAAGUUUUUUAGCAGCUAUCCCAGCAAACUAAAGGAUUUGAUCCUCUUGGUAAAGUACUGGUGUCAAAAGUGCCAGGAAAAGCUGAACAAUUCCUCCCUGCUGCCUCUGUAUGCACUGGAGCUGCUUACGGUCUAUGCCUGGGAACAGGGCUGUGGAGCGGAGGACUUUGAUAUGGCUGAAGGUGUCAGGACUGUUCUGGGGCUCAUCGAGAAGCAGGAGGAGCUAUGUGUCUAUUGGACGGUCAACUACAACUUUGGAGAUGAGACCAUCCGCAACAUCCUGCUGAGCCAGCUCCAAGCCCCGAGGCCGGUAAUCUUGGAUCCAACUGACCCAACCAAUAAUGUGAGCAAAGAUAACAUCUACUGGCCACUGCUAAAAAACGAAGCUCAAAACUGGUUGCAUUCUCUCAGGCAGAACGAGUCACCUGGACCAUCUUGGAAUGUUCCGCCCGCGCCACUCUACAUGACCCCAGGCCAUCUGCUACAUAAGUUCAUCGAGGACUUUCUCCAGCCUGACCAGACUUUCCAAGACCAGAUCAAGAAGGCUCUUAAAACCAUCUGUUCAUUCCUUGAAGAAAAUUGCUUUCGACAUUCAACUACAAAGAUUCAAGUUAUCCACUGGGGGUCGACUGCAAAAGGCACAGCUCUGAAGACUGGCUCCAAUGCCAACCUCGUAGUGUUCGCAGACUCGCUGAAAAGCUACACCUCCCCAAAAAAUGAGAGAUGCAACAUCAUCAGGGAAAUCCAUAAGCAGCUGGAAGCCUGUCAGCAGAAGAAGGAUUUUGAAGUGAAGUUUGAGAUUUCAAAAUGGAAGGCUCCCUGGGUGCUGAGCUUCACUCUGAAAUCCAAAGUCCUCAACGAAAGCGUUGACUUUGAUGUGGUGCCUGCAUUUGACGCCCUGGGUGAACUGAUGUCUGGCUCCACACCCAGCCCCAGGACCUAUGAUGAACUCAUCUGUUUGUAUGAAUCUUCUGAUGUUUCCCUGGGGGGAGAAUUUUCUGCGUGUUUCACGAAGCUACAGUGCAACUUUGUUCGCCUCCUGCCCCCCAAACUGAAGGAUUUAAUUCGCCUGGUGAAGCACUGGUACAAAUGGUGUGAACGCAAACUGAAGCAAAAGGGGUCUCUGCCCCCCAAGUAUGCCUUGGAGCUGCUCACCAUCUAUGCCUGGCAGAAGGGGAGCAGGGCACAGGAUUUUGACUUGGCUGAAGGUUUCCUGACGGUCCUGAAGUUGGUCGAACAAUAUCAGCAUCUCUGUAUCUUCUGGACGGUCAACUACAGUUUGAAUAAUGAGAGCCAAGUUCUGAGGAACUUCCUCCUGGACCAGAUGAAGAGAACCAGGCCUAUAAUCUUGGACCCAGCCGAUCCUACUGGCGACGUGGGUGGAGGGAACUGUUGGUGUUGGCAUCUUCUAGCGAAAGAAGCGACUGAAUGGUUGUUUUCUCUCUGCUUCAAAGAUAAGUUGGGAUGUUCCAUAGAACCGUGGAAAGUGCCCACAGAAUCAUCCUUCUAAAGGAAGUGUCGUCUGAAGAUUACCCUGGGAUGGGCUUCCAUCUAAGAGCUUCCUCUGCUCUAGGAAGCUGAGAUUCACUCGGCCACACAUUACAGAUAGCCCAACUCAGGCGCUUAAAUGAUUGGGUUUUUUUGGUCCCAUUUGAUGAAAUCCUAAGGCAGGCAAUCCAGGAGUCACUCAACAGCUCCGUCAGGCUUUCCCCGGGAGCAGAUUGUCUCCACCAUGACAGUUGGUGUUCGGGCCUGGAUAGGUCUUCAUGGUGUGAGCAGUGUGAGUCAUUAAGCGGCAGCCUCUGGUUCCCUACCCAGGAGAUGUGGGCGCACCGCCCCCAAGGGCAAUAGCCGAAAACGUCUCCAGGGACUUCCCUGCUAGGGAUCUACCUCGCGGUGCAGGGCACGUGGGUUUGAUCCCUGGUCGGGGAACUAAGACCCCACGUGCUGCAGGACGACUAAGCUCACGCACUCGGGAACCCAUGCAGCACAGCUGGAAAGCCUGUGUGCCACGAUGCAAAAGACCCGUCACAGCCAAAUAAGUAAAUCAAUUCUUUUAAGAAAAAUGUCUCCAGAGAUGGCUGAGUGUCACUUGGGGCACGCUCAUCCCUAGCUCCUUCUGGCUCCACCCUCUUUAGUUGUCUAGUUGAGUCUUCCUGGCACUGAAGUAGCUGUUGCCCCUCUGGGUGGUGGGUUCGCCAUCAGGCUGGAGGAACAGAAAGGUGGAGGACACCUACCCACAGGGUGUCUUAUUCGAAGCCUCAUCCAGCAAAGUCUUAGGUUUCCUUACCCGGAACCGUUGUCUCGCAUUGCUUGCAGCUUAAAAGUGACUCCAGAAAGGGGGGCGGUGAAGACAGCCAUGGGUGGGGGUUGGGUCAGUCAACCAAGAGUGCCUGCCACACCUGUUCAAAGCUCCACCUCCUUCCAAGAUAGCUGCCACCAGGUAUACUUGGCUCUCCCACCAGUUUCUCCAUCAACAGGUACCCCAAAAUUGUCCCUGGUUAUUGUCACCUUGUCAGAUACACUUCCUCCUUUCUUUUUCCUGUCUCGUUUCACCAGUGGUUUGGAUAUGUUUUAUUCCUGCACAUAUAUUUCUUUCUUUCUUUCAAGAGAGUGCAAGACACCAGGAAGUUGUGGAGCAGGGAUGUAUUCUAUGGUCAAUGAGAUGCACUUACUCAGAAGUCUUAGAUUCCUGGACUAGUAAUGCUGGGAGAAACUUCUAGAGGCCAUCAAGCAAUAGCUUUUAAAGAAUCAGUUCAUGGUAUAAAAGAGUAACACAUGCCUCCCUUGACAGGCCCCAUUACCUCUUCCCAACCUCUUGAAAUCAUCACCUCCACGCCCUCUGUAAGGUCUCACCUCGCCUCGCUGAAAUCUCGUUCCGUGUGUGACCUCUGUUAUUAACAGAUCUGCUCUCAUCCAGCUUGACGUUCUGUAUUUUUCCGAUGAACUCCUUCCUUUUCUUUCAAGUCUUAGAGGAGGGAUCUCUUCCCAGAGUGAAGCCCUUUUGCUGGCCCUCGGUUCCUGUGAUUCUGUCUUUUCGCUCUCAUACUCCUCCACCCCGCCCGCCUCCCGUCUCUUCCCGUCUGUACAGAGGACCCGUGGGGCCCUGCCGCUUCACGGUCUCCUAAGCCAGGAGUGAGCCGGGCUCUGCUUACAACCGCACACUCUCCACAGGCUUGGACUGUGACUGUUGAGAUAGACAGAUAUUUAGGUAGACAUCAGCAGUUGUUUUAUGUAGAUAGACAUGUACAUGUGUUACAUAUGUAUGACUGUUGACAUUUCCUUCUGAGCCUACCUUUUCCCCCACAUCCGUGAGCUGCUUCUUGCCAAAUCUAGAGGCUUUACCCUCUGGCUUUGGCUUUCAAGACACUUGGAGGUCUAAAUGUGUUAACCUCAUAUAUCCACUUAAUGUUUGAUUACUACCUCAUAUCCCACCUGUCAGAAAAACAAGAAUAGAUCUGGUCUUUGUCGCCAGUUCUGGCAAAGGGCUUCAGAAACCCUUGGAACUUCCUGAUUUGGGCUGUCUUUUGUAUUCUGAGGAGCCCCUUCUGACCCUCCCUGUGUUAUGCUAACGAGGUGUGGGUCCUUAGUUUUGAAGGAUUGGCCUUGCCUGAAAUGCCAAGAGUGUGAUGAGUGUUGAAACGCUUAACCCCACCCACUACCAACCUUCAAAGAGGACAGGAGGGCUGGAGAUUGAGGCGAAGCACAUGGCCAGUGAUUUAAUCAACUGUGUAAUGAAACCCUAAUGAAAACUCUGGACAACAAGGCUUCCUGGUUGGCUGAAAACAAUGAAUAAGAAAUAAACCCAGCGUUUCUCGUACAGACUUUAUUUCAGGAUAAACAAAUGGCCAUGACUGAUAAAGAAACAAAAUUUUUAAGUGGAAAAUCCUACGUAAUGUUUGUUGAAAGUACAAGUUAGAAAUACCACCCUUUUGCAACCUCUGAUGAAACAGAUGGUUUAAGCAGAGACUGUCAGUGGAUAAAACCAUUAGAUGACUCUCUGGAACCUGUGAAUAUGUUGCCUGACAUGGCAAAAGAGAUACUGAAGAUGUGGUUGAAGAUUUGAGGUGGGGAGAGGAUCCAGGUGAGUCCAAUUGAAUUCCACUCGAGCCUUUAAAGGCAGAGAAGUGGUUCCACCUGAGGUCGGAGAGGGUCAGCUACAGAGGAGGCAGGCAAGACGUCUGAGCUGCUCUCGGGGAAUGUGAGGCUUCUGGGGGCUCACCACCCGCCAAGAGGCAGGCACCUCCAUCCUACAGGACAUGGGACCAGGCUCACCCACCCGCGGAGUGACCCUGCAGGCAGACUGUCCCCAGAACCUCCAGGUAGGAAUGCCGCCCGGCCCACACCUAGAUUUCAGCCUUGUGGGGCCCAGAACGGGGGAACCAGCCAGGCCUGCUGGGCCUCUGACCACAAAACGUGAGAUAAGGCACUUGCAUGGUUCUGAGCUGCUAAAUGUGUGCUAACCUGUUCGGGCAGGGGCUGGUAAGCAGCUCAGGGCCUGGGCCUGGGCCUGGAGGAGAAUCGGCCUCCUCCGACUCCAGGCCCGGUUAGUCCAUCCUGCCCAGCCUGCGUCCAGGGGAAGCAACUCCCACACAAGAGGGAAAGCCGUUUUCUUCCUCUGCCCUCAGUACUUCUGACGCCGGUCGCCAUGCUUUCUGUUUGGUUGGUUAGUUGGGGUUUGGGGGCUAUGCUCAGUCCGCCCAAGGCUUCCCCCACCUCCACUUCAGAGUCCAGGCCUCCAGUAUGAAAGUGUCAGCCACUCAGUCGUGUCCGACUCUCUGUGACCCCAUGGACCUCCAGGUUCCUCUGUCCAUGGGCUUUUCCAGGCAAAGAUGCUAGAACGGGUUGCUAUUCCCUUCUCCGAGGGAUCUUCCGCACCCAGGGGUCAAACCCAGGUCUCCUGUAUUGCAGGCAGAUUCCUUACCCUCUGAGCCACAAGGGAAGCCGCCAGGCUUCUGGUGCUUCUAACCAACCAGUUAUAAACUGGGGGUUCCCGGGACUCCCUCCUCAGGCUCAGUCAUUUUCUAGAAUGGCUCACAGAACCAGGAGAACAGCUUAUUUACUAAUUACCAGUUUAUUAUAAAAGCCUACAACUCUGAUGUAGGCCAGCUGAUGAAGGCCUUCUUCCUGGCUUGAGGGUGGCUGCCUUCUUGAUGUGUCUUCGCGUGAGGGGAAGAGAAAUGGGGGGCCAGGGAAAGAGAGAGAUCUUUACUAUCCCUGAUUUUCCCCUCAUUUCCUCCAUCCCCAGUAUUAAAGGAAAAUGCUGGUUUUCUUAUGUGUGUGUAAUAUGUGUGUAUCUAUGUGCAUGUGUAUAUGUAUUUUUUUCAGAUUAUGCAUUUAAUUCAGGCAUAUUAGAGAAUUUUGAAAAAAUGAAACCCACGUUUUCUAACUGAUAUUUUUCCAUUUAAAAAAAAAAAUUUUUUUUUUUUAAAAUUUGGCUGCACCAGGUCUUAGUUGCAGCAUGUAGAAUCUUUUAGUUGCUGCAUUCAAACUCUUAGUCUUGGCAUGUGGGAUCUAGUUCUUAGUCCAGGAAUCAAACUGGGGCCCCCUGCAUUGGGAAGGAGGAGUCAGCCACUGGACCACCAGGGAAGUCCCUGAAAUCUGCUUCUAAAAGUCACCCCUAACCCCUACCACCCAGGAAUGAUCUCAGUUAACCUUCCAUCUGUUCUUCUUUGCAUCCACACAAACACAUGUGUAUUUACAAAGAUGGAGUCAACAUACAUAUAUUAUAGUGUGCCUUGGUUUUGCCCCUUAGUAUGGAAUCAUGAGUAUUUUCUCAUGUCAUCCAAUGUUCUUUGAAACCACUGUAAUAUUCCCUCAUAUGGAGGUCACUGUGUCCCAUCAUAUGGGUACAUCAUCAUAGGGAUUUAGUAAUUUUCUUGUGGGUUUGUUUAUUUAUUAAUUUGCUUUUUUACCCUAUCAAUCAAGGGGUUAUUUUAGAUAAGUGAAUAUUAUUAGAAGCAUUAAGUGUGGAUAUCUAACAACUUAUACUGGCCAGAGUAAGAAUAUUUAUUUCCUUUUGUGAUUUUUAAAAAUUUUCUAUUGGAGUAUAGUUGAUUUGAUGGUUGAGAUGGUUGAAUGGCAUCACCAACUCAAUGGACCUGAGUCUGAGCAAGCUCCGGGAGUUGGUGAUGGACAGGGAAGCCUGGCGUGCUGCAGCCCGUGGGGUCGCAAAGAGUCAGACACGACUGAGUGACUGAACUGAACUGAUAGUUGAUUUACGCUGUGUGUUAGUUUCAGGGGUAUGGCAAAGUGAGUAAGUUAUACAUAUAUGUAUAUUCACUCUCUAUUUUUCAGUUUUAGAUUCUUUCCCCAUACAGGUCAUUACAGAGUAUUGAAUACAGUUUUCUAUGCUGUAUAGCAAGUUCUUAUUCGUUACCUGUUGGGUAUAUGGCAGUGUGCUUAUGUCAAUGCCAAUCUCCCAAUUUGGCCCUAGCCACCCACGUAUCUCCUGGUGACCGUUAUGUUUGUUUUCUCCAUCCGCGACUCUACUUCUGUUUUGUAAAUAAGUUCAUUGGUACCCUUUUUUUUUUUUUUUAGAUUCC